rnacentral:rRNA from 1 species
UGGGGAUUUUCCGCAAUGGGCGAAAGCCUGACCGAGCGAUGCCGCGUGCGCGAUGAAGGCCUUCGGGUUGUAAAGCGCGAAAGUGGGGAGAAAAGCCGAAAGGUUUGAUCUAUCCACAGUAAGCUCGGGCUAAGUUCGUGCCAGCAGCCGCGGUAAGACGAACCGAGCGAACGUUGUUCGGAAUCACUGGGCUUAUAGGGCGCGUAGGCGGGCUGUCAAGUUUGGGGUGAAAUCCCACGGCUCAACCGUGGAACUGCCUCAAAUACUGACGGUCUCGAGGGAGGUAGGGGCGAGCGGAACUGAUGGUGGAGCGGUGAAAUGCGUUGAUAUCAUCAGGAACACCGGUUGCGAAGGCGGCUCACUGGGUCUUUACUGACGCUGAGGAACGAAAGCUAGGGGAGCGAAAGGGAUUAGAUACCCCUGUAGUC